rfam:Glycine soja cultivar W05 scaffold198_38, whole genome shotgun sequence.
UUGUCCCCUUGAAUUCCCCUGACCACUUCAUUAGCAACUCCUUAGGUUUCACUAACAGUGAGGCCUUAUAGUUAGUCCUAUUGAAGUGUUUUGGGGAACUCUAGGAGCCAC